rnacentral:rRNA from 1 species
UGGGGAAUAUUGGACAAUGGGCGAAAGCCUGAUCCAGCCAUGCCUCGUGUGUGAAGAAGGUCUUCGGAUUGUAAAGCACUUUAAGCGAGGAGGAGGCUACUAGUACUAAUACUACUGGAUAGUGGACGUUACUCGCAGAAUAAGCACCGGCUAACUCUGUGCCAGCAGCCGCGGUAAUACAGAGGGUGCAAGCGUUAAUCGGAAUUACUGGGCGUAAAGCGCGCGUAGGUGGUUCGUUAAGUUGAAUGUGAAAGCCCCGGGCUCAACCUGGGAACUGCAUCCAAAACUGGCGAGCUAGAGUAGGGCAGAGGGUGGUGGAAUUUCCUGUGUAGCGGUGAAAUGCGUAGAUAUAGGAAGGAACACCAGUGGCGAAGGCGACCACCUGGGCUCAUACUGACACUGAGGUGCGAAAGCGUGGGGAGCAAACAGG